CCUACGGGAGGCAGCAGUGGGGAAUAUUGGGCAAUGGGCGCAAGCCUGACCCAGCAACGCCGCGUGAAGGAAGAAGGCUUUCUGGUUGUAAACUUCUUUUAUCAGGGACGAAGCAAGUGACGGUACCUGACGAAUAAACCACGGCUAACUACUUGCCAGCAGCCGCGGUAAUACGUAGGUGGCAAGCGUUAUCCGGAUUUUAUGGGUGUAACGGGCGGGUAGGGGGGAAUGCAAGUCAGAUGUGAAAACUAUGGGGUCAACCCAUAGCCUGCAUUUGAAACUGGAUUUCUUGAGUGCGGGAGAGGCAAGCGGAAUUCCGUGUGUAGCGGUGAAAUGCGUAGAUAUACGGAGGAACACCAGUGGCGAAGGCGG
rnacentral:rRNA from 1 species